CUGCCCAGAAAUUGAGUCGUUUCCAGAAGGGGGUAUGCCACCUAACCUGAGAACAGUUUCGAUUCACAAUUGUGAGAAACUACUGAGCGGCCUAGCAUGGCCAUCCAUGGGCAUGCUUACCCAUCUCCAUGUUCAGGGUCCAUGUGAUGGCAUCAAGUCCUUCCCUAAGGAGGGUUUGCUGCCUCCCUCCCUUACGUCUCUGUAUCUACAUAAGUUGUCAAAUCUGGAGAUGUUGGACUGCACGGGGCUUCUCCAUCUCACAUCCCUGCAAGAAUUAACCAUAAUCGGAUGUCCUUUGCUGGAGAAUAUGCUGGGAGAAAGGCUUCCUGUCUCUCUAAUAAAAUUAACCAUAGAGAGAUGUCCUUUGCUGGAAAAACAAUGCCGCAGGAAGCACCCUCAAAUAUCCCACAUCCGUCACAUUAAAGUUGACAAUAGAUGGAUUUAGUGACCAAGGAUGAGCACCGGGUAAUUCUCCUUCUUUGACCUACUUCAUCGUCUUCUAAGUCUAACCAAACAAAACUAUUUCAGUCAAGGAUAUCUUUCUUUUCAUGUCUUUUUAUUCUCACAGUUAAUUUAUUCAUUUCAUUCAACAAGCGUUAUUACCCUGAAGAAAUGUUAUCAAUCAAUGCCAUUGUAUUUGAACUUUCUCAAUAUAUCGGCAAUCAUGGUGGUUGUUUCAUCUUGUUACAUUCUCUGUCAGUGUUCAAAGUGUAAUUGGGUGUACUUUGUUUUUCAGAGAUGAUAGAUUGUCCUGUAGAAACUGCACCUGUAAUUGGAUAUGAAUUCAACUUUGACGUGACACCAGAAAGCUCAUAUUUAUGCGUGUAAAGCUGAUCUUCCAGGGCAAAAGGAGGAGGAAGCGAGGGCGCAGUCAGCUGAUGGCAAAGUGUUUAAGAUUGUUCCAUGGCACCAUCUGGAGCAUAGCACCAGCAACUCCCUGAGCAUACAGGCCUUAAGCCAUGACUUGACUGGUUUAGAUAGGUAAUAAUUACUGAAUUCAAGACACUAAAUUCUAUGAGGGUUCAUAUAAAAUUGACAAGGGUUUAGAUCUUGCUAGUAAUACCAAGGAUUCGUGAACCAACUUAACAAUCACACCAUGGAUGAUUUGAAAUAACAAUAUAAAUUGCAGUUCCUGUCUAACAUCUCUAGGAAAUUUUCCAGAACAUAAGUUCAACAAGGAAAACAAAGAAGAUAGAAAAAAUAAGACAAUGUUGUUUUCUUCUUAAUCUUAUAUUUUAUUGUUCCUCCCAUGCCUUGCAUCAAUUUUGUAACCUAUGUGAAACUUGGAUCAUUUAAAACACAAUAAUUACAAUGAACAAGGAAUAGAAACUAGAGGGUCUUGGGUAGGAGAUUGUGGUCUAUCUGAGAAGCAAAGUCCUGAUUUCAGUCUUUAACUAGAAUUCAUCAAGCUUAUCAUUCUCUAAGCUGAUUUAUUAGGCAAUUGUCUUUGUUCUUUCUCAUUCUUGUUUCUUAUUUUCCUCUAAAUUGGGCUCAGAGCUUUGUUCUUACUCAUUGUUUCUUAUUUUCCUUCAGAUCAUAUUUUCUAAAGUUGUUCAUGUCAUUGCAUGCAAUGUUUGCUUUCACCCAAAGGGGUGGCUUUGAUCAAAUUGACAAGGAUGAUUCCAACCUACCUCUGGAUACAGCUCCUAUUAAGCAUGUCACGCAGGUAUGCUGUCACAUAAUUGAAAAUUGUUAUCAUGGCUCUAACUACUUGUUAUAAAUUCUCUGUCACUACAAGUUUUCAUCCGAGUUGGGUUAUUAUCUUUUUUAUCUUUCAUCUUUUGUGAAUUUUCGUUUUUAGUUUCAUGAUUUUUUUGUCUUUUUUUAGUCCCAAAAAAAAUAUUGUUUUAUUUUUUGUUCUCAAUAUAUGUAGAAUUUUUUAGGGACUAAAAAUGAAACAAAAAAAUUGAGGGACUAUAAACGAAAAAAAAAAUUAUGGACUAAGACCCAUCAAAAGAUUAAGAAGGACUAAAAACAAUCGCAAAAGACGAAGCAAGUUAAAUAAAUCCUAUUGAUACUAUUUUACUAAUAUUGUGUUACAGGAAACUAUAAAUUUACAAUUUAUAUUAUAAUACAAAAAUAUUUAUCUUUAUUUAUAUUCUUUUGAAAAUAUUCAAAUUCAAUUUAAAAAUAAGUAUGAAAAUGAAAAAUUAAACAGAGAUAAAAGUUUUAUAAAAAAAUUUAAAAUAUCUUGUUGAAAAAAAACUAAAAAUACUUUAGUUGAAGAAUAUCUCUUAAAAAAAUAUUUUCCGAUACAGGAAACUCAUUUCAUUUCAGAUAAAACUAUAAAAUUUACUAUAAAAGAAGGCAACUAAUGUGUUUAUCCGUUACUCACAACACAACUAAAAUAUAGCUGUGGACUUAAGUUUUUCGAUUCGAAUCAUCCAAUUUUUCUCAUAAUCGCAGUCUUCUUCCUUGCAUGCAUGCAAUUUUUCCUUCCCUUGUUUUCUCUAGGACAAAAGUUAUCACAGUGCAUACGUGACAAUCUACCCUCAAAACUCUCCGCAUCAAUCAAACAGUCACAAGAAAAGGCCAUGAAACAUAUGAUGCUAAUGCCACAAAAUGGUGGCAGUCGUGGUGAUAUCCAUGUUGAGGAUAACCAAAACAUGUCCUUUCCGUCGUGGGAGGGAACCUUUAUGAGGUGCUUCAGUGAAAUAGAUGAAAAGCUUGCUAAGAACAUUGACACUGAUGGAUUUCGUGGCGGUAGCACUUCUGUAUCUGUAAUCAAACAGGUAUAACUAGACCUUCNNNNNNNNNNNNNNNNNNNNNNNNNNNNNNNNNNNNNNNNNNNNNNNNNNNNNNNNNNNNNNNNNNNNNNNNNNNNNNNNNNNNNNNNNNNNNNNNNNNNUUUCUUUUUUUUGUGAAUACUUUUGCAACAAUGUUAUAACCACAUCUUUUUCCCCCUUUAAAUUUCAGGGUGACCAAGUAAUAAUUGGCAAUGUGAGGGAUUCUCGUGCAGUUCUUUGCAGAAGAGCACCUGACAAUCGCCUUAUUCCUGUUCAACUUACUAUUGACUUGACUCCAGAUAUUCCAAGUAUGUUUUGGUAUUACCUAUUCUUAGUUUCCAAAUCUUACAACCCUUUUGAGUUUAUUUGGUUAAAUUGUCUAAUUAAGCCAUAUUCAUUAAGAACUUAUUAGAUGAGAGCUUCUUUCAGGACUUGUUUGGGUAAGUUUAUCCAAAACCACUUAUGCACAUACUAGUUUGUAAAAGCUCUCUCAUCUUUUAGAGAAACUAUACAAGAGAGUUUCUACAAUUUAGCUUAUGGAGAAACUCAUUUCAUUUCUUUUUCUUAUUUUAUUUCUCCUAAAAGUGCUUCCAGAUAAGUUUAUCCAAACAGACCCUAAAAGCUUGAUUGUAUAACUUAGUAAAUAAGCUAACCAAACUUAUUUUGAUAACCUUCUUUUUGAAAUUUAAUUGAAAUAAGCUAAAAAUAUUCUACUGAAUGGCCAUAUGCUACUUCUACAAGUCCAAAUAAGUUUUAUGAAAUUCUUCCUAAUGUCCCUUGGUCUGUGUCUAACUAGCUUUUCUUCCUCAAUGUUACUCAGGAGAAGCUAUGAGAAUUUUUGCUGUAGAAGAAGAUCCUACUGUAAACAGAGUAUGGAUGCCUAAAAGGGACUGCCUGGACUGGCUAUGGCAAGAGCCUUUAGAAAUUUUUGCCUAAAAGACUAUGGUGUCGCCUCAGUCCCUGAUGUGUCUUAAAGAAAACUUACCAAGGAGGAUAAGUGUGUGGUUUUGGCUUCUGAUGGGGUAAGCAUUUUCAUAUCAGGAUGUCAACUUCGAAUUUUGGAUUUUGAUUCUUGAGUAAUCAGUUACAGGAACAGAACAAUCAUUUUUAGUGUUUAAGUUAUGCUCAUUUCUCGUAUUCCUCUCAAUCCAAAUAUGUUUGCAAAUAUUUGAUCAAAUAGUGUAAGAAAAGAAAUAACCAAGAAGGUUAAAUGAAUUAACAGCAUGUAGUUUCCACACAUACGUGUUUAGUUCAUAUUGGACAAAAAUUAGAUGCAGUUAGUUCUGUAAGUGCUUUCGUUGUUGUCUUUCAAUUAGAAUUGGAGUUUCACCUAGUAAAUUCGUGUAAUAAAGGUUUCAAUUAAAAGUCAACAUAGACUACUAAGGUGGAAAUCCAAUUUUGAUUGAAGAACAAUGUUAAAAGCACCUGUAAAAACUGUAUCUAAGUUUUGUCCCAGCAUAUUUGGCACAAAUCCAUAUGCUUAUUCUUGAAGGAUUAGCCUCCUUUAACCCAAUCCUGAUCCAAAGUUAGUGGUUAACUUCUCAAAAUUUAUCCCAACCAAUAAGGUCUAAAUAAUCUAGACUUGUAAAUACUGAAAUUGUAGAUAUGGCAAGAGUAUGGUAGAAUCAAAAGGAAGAAUGGGAUGCUCUUGGAGGGUUCUCCAGAGCCAACUUUGAAUCAUAGAUUGCAAUCACCUCAGUACCUCAAGGAGGGUUGAAGCUGAUCACUAACUCAGCCAGAAACUCCCCGAAUCCAAGGGCUAGUGCUACUAACAAGUUAACAAUUUUACGGCCAGAAGAUUUUGCUUUUGACACAAUCCCAGAAGAUGGCAAUUAUUUUAGCCUUCUAAUUCUGGUGUAAUUACGUGCAAGACUUCUUUUCUAUCUGCCUAAGACCAACAUUGAUCAAUUUUAGCAGUCUAUAUUAUGGUACCAUAAAAGUUUUCUUUUUUCUGGCUUGGGUUCUAAAGAGUUCAAUGAAGAACUAAGCAGCACCUACUUUUCUAUUUAUCUUCAAUUAUUUCCUAGUGUUCUGUGUUGACACUAACAUUCAGCAUAAAACAUUACUAGACACUAGAACCAGAGGAUUUUGGAAUUUUACAUACCAAGAAUAUAGUAUUAAUAGAUUGCCGAUAAUUCAGAGGGGUUAUACUAUUGCUGAGCAUUUUGAAGUUUAAGAAUGAAUCUACAAAAGUAAAAAGUGAUCCAAUAACAACCCAGAGUAAGGUUUAUUUUUUUAAAGCCGAAGGAAAUGAAAUUAUAUCAAUAACUUCCAGAACUUCUGGAAAAAGAUUACAACACCAAAAAGAUACUAUUUGGCCGAAAAGCAUGCCUUAGAAUUAUAAACAACAACACCAAAAAAAAGUCAAAAUAUAUUUUCUAUUUUUAAUAAAUAUCUAAAUUUUAUAUUUCUUUCCUGAUAAAAAAAUUACAUUAAAUCCCUAAUAUAAUAAAAAUUAUUUGUGAUUAAACUUUUCAAAUAGACUAAUAACAAAUGAAAAAUAAUUAUCAUGAAAAAAACACAUAAUUUAUCAUGAACUAAAGCAUAAUAUCAAGAAAAAAAUAAAAUAUUUUGUAUUUUUAUCAGAGAAAAAAAAAGUAUUAAUACUUAAACAUAAAAUUAGAAUAUUUAUUAAAAAUCAUACAAUUAUAUUAGCCUAGAAAAAAAAUAAAGGCAGGCCUCCUACACAAAUUAACACAUGAUGAAAAGAUACAUCUUUGAGGGACCACCAUAUGUAUUUUGCCUCACCACGUGGAGCUUCUACAGUUCACCAGCUGAUUGUCUUCAUAUAAGCAGCGCCAUGAUACAUCAGUAACAAGCAUGAGAAAAGAUAAAGAAACCCAAACCCAUCUUCACUGCUCCCAGCAGCUUUAAUUGAGUAGCUUAAUAAUAAAGAUAAAUUUCAAUUAAAGGGGCGUGGCUAUUUUGCAGCCUUUUUUUAGUUUGGCUCGAUUCCAUUGGAACAUUGGAGGGUGAAGUUAAAAAAAUAUAGUUUUAAUAAAAUAUCGUGUACGAAUGAGAAUUCAUAUACUACUUUUGAGCUGACAAUUUUGACUUUUGAGCUGAUAAUUUUGACUGCGAACAAAUGCAAUUUUUAUUAUUUGCAUAGAGAUAUUUUUUUCAUGUAUUUUUGGGUGUGUUUGUCUCAACUACUUCUACAUUUCAAAAAAUAGUUUUCUACUUAUUUUAAGAAAUAAAUCAUAUCUACUUCUUAAAAAAUACUUAUAUAAAAAGUAUUUAUUUUAAAAUUUAAACAAACUCAUCCUAAAUUACACCCAUUAAAAAUGCUUUUAAAGAAUUUGAUUGGUGUGGUCUACUUUUCCUUCCCAAUUAAUCAAAUUUUUUUCAUCGAAUACAAAAUCUUAUUUUUAGGAUUUGAACUUAGUUUCAUAUAGAUUAUAGACAAACAACAUGUUAAUAAUAUACCAAUAAAUAUACAUUAAAAAUUUUAGUGUUAUGUAUAAUAACAUUAUUUAUUUUAUAAUGUAAUUGGCUUAUUAUCUUAGUUGGUUAGAGUCUUGUGCUAGAAACCUAAAAGUCAUAUGUUCAAAUUCUUAUUUGGGCCAUUAAAUGGAAGCUAAUAUGUGGACCUCAUACGGAUCAAUUGAUUCGUAUCCUUUUAUAAAAGGGUAAAAUGGGAAAAAUGCAAAAUUAGUGGGUGUACCAGCAAUUUCACCCUUUGGUUAGGUAUCACGUUGGGUCUUAGGCUUUCUAUGGGUCAACUGGUCAAGGAAAUUACUUCCUACAUUCCAUUUUUUAUUUCUUGCACCUCCCAAAAAUCCAAGAAGGCAAAACUACCCCUCCAACACCACCACUACCACUGUAGCCCCACCUCCACCCAACCACCAACACGCAAACAGCACCACCCAACACCACCAUUGAUGACUUUGGUGCAAGGAACCAUGUGAAAAUGGAAUCGAAGACCAACGAAGAGGUGUAAAGCACAACCUCAUUCUAGAUACAUGAAUUCGUAAGACACUAAUUUUGUAUACAUUUUUAGAAUACCUAUUCCAGAAUAAUAUUUUUCAUAUUUCAGAAUUUGUAUUUUAGAAUACGUUUUUGGAUUACUUAUUCUUAUUUUGUAAUAUGAAAAUCUUAUUCCAUAACAGGUAUUUCGCAACAGGAAUAAGUAAUCCAAAAAGGUAUUCCAAAAUGUCUAGAAUAUGAAAAUUCAUAUUUUUAGAAUAGGUAUUCAGAAAGUGUAAAAGGCCAAAUUUCUCUUUUUCACACAAAUGGCAAAUCUCACACCCCAUUCGCAUAUGCCCUACUUUAUCCCCUCAUUUCUCACUACAAAUUCCACCGACACCUUCUUCUCCUUCUCCCCUCAUUCCUUUGUUCAUUGAGAUCCAAGGUAUAGACCAAGAAACACUGCCAGCUACAAAUCCCAUGAGGGCACAAUGGUGUUCGGGGUGUGAUUGUGUUGGGGCACAAUGGUUAUGGAGGCUUCAUGGCUAGGAUUUUUUGGGAGAGGCAAGGACACAAGAUGUCUUGGUGAGGGGUAUUCUUGUUUUUUGGGAGAUGUAGGAAGAAAAAAGUGGUGCAAGAAGUAAUUACCACUAAUCAACUAUUAACUUGUGAAAAACUUGUGUACAUGUUUCUGUUGGUUUAGCAAUUGGUAGCAAUGACUAAUUUGAAGCUAUUUAAAAAAAUUAGAGACUAAAAUAAAAUUUCUAAAACAAACAAUCAAACUAAAUCAAAACUAAAACAUAAGAAGGAUAAUAUACGUAAUUUAGCAACAAGAAAAAUUCACUUGACUACAAAAUCAUUUUUUAUCACACUCAUCCAAACAUGUACAGAUGUACUUAAUUUGUCAAGGAUUCAUAUCCAUUUACAACAGUACAAAACAGUACAUGAUCCAUUGUAAAGGCCCAGGAGCUAGAAAAUUUAAAUUAUCAGUGGUAGGCAAAAAAUUCAACCAAAAAUCGUUCAGAACAAUGCGUUGCCAUUAAGUCUUCUAUUAUGGCGAAAAUAUGCGAUACCUUUCAUUGCUACUGAAGAAUUCUGCUGUACUUGUUAGCAGAUACAAUGAAUGGCAAUUUUUCAUAUAACGAGUUCCUUUAACCAUGUCAAUGCUUCCAAUAGUGGUUUGAAUUAAAGGUGUGGUGUACAAUUGUCAUUUGUCACAGCAAACUACUACAAUCAAUCCACACCCUAUGAUGAGAGGACAUUGUGUACUACAAUUGCAAAACAACAAAUAGUCCAUUCCAAUGUAUAUGGUACACAAUUUGGAGACAUUAUUAUCUUGAUAUUUACUCUCUUCUCUUUAAGCAUGUCCCUUCAGUACUGAAAUAUAUUAUUGAAAAGAAAAAGGAAGGUAAGAAAAUUAAAUUAGAGUUUCAUUAGGAGGUAGUGAUGUGAAAAAGAACCUUCCAACAUGCUUAACACAAUAAUUGGUUCACCACAUGCUUACUAAUAAGUAUAGGUCUUAUUAACCAGCUCUUUAGAGAACUUGGUUAAUUUUUUAAAAAAAAAUCAUAUAAAAGUGCAUAUAAAGAAUAUAAAAUAAAGAAGAGCAUUUUAACACAUCUAAAAAAAAUUCUUUUCAUUCCAAAAUUUGACUUAAUUUAAGUUUAAGAAAAUCAGCUUGACGCACCUAAAUUAGUGAGUUGGCGGAUAAACAUACGUACUCACCUUAUUUUCAUAAAAAAACACACAAAAGAAAAAUAAAAAUAAAAAAAUAAGAUAAGUUUAAUGUUUCAAGUUAAACUACAAAAUGCAUAUUACUAAAUUUAAAAUAAGUCAAAUUAAAUGCAUAUGCAAGUCCAAUGUUUAUUAAUUAAAUGAAAAAUAUUAAAAUAAGGAACAUGUUAACCCAAUUUUAACCCAUCUGAAAAUUGCAAGUUAAAUAAAUUGAGUUCAAAUAGCCCCCAAAAAAAGUAAAUUGAUUUUUAGCACCAAGCACCCAAAAUCAAUGUGUAUGCAUAAAAGGUAAAAUGGAGAGGGUUGAAAGGGGAUCCAAUUAAAAUACCAAAGUUAAAGUGUUGUUAUUGCUGGUGCACCCAACAUUUUUUAAAAAUGCCAAAACUGCUCCUGUGUUUUUUUUGUAUUUAUGCUAGGUGUGCAUGAGGGUGAUAUGUAAAUCGUAUGGAUCAAGUUAAUCCGUAAGGUUGAUACGGAUUAAGUUGAUCCAUAAGCUUUUUACGAAUCAAAUUAAUUUGUAGAAAACUUAUAAAUUUUUCACGGAUCAACUUAUAAGACUUAGGGAUAAAGAGUAUUUUAGUCUUUUUUCUUAAUUGCUGAACCUAGCAACACCCAACCUGGAUUGGCACCACUCUUGGAAAACAUAUAAAGCAAGGAAAGAGGCUCCGCUACCCAAUCUUAACCCUCUGAACACACGUUGUCAGUCACUGCCCGUGACCUAUUCCUGCUUCUUUCUUUGGAACUCUCGUCACCCUCUAGUUCCAUACAUUGAUUAUACUAAAAUCUAUUAUUUCUAUACAAAGUAACCAAACCAAAACCCCUCUCUUACAAUGCACAGUCCUGUCAAUAACCAAACCAAAUCCAAAGGGGCAAUAAUAAAGCUGGUCGGGUGUGGAUUUCAAAUAAUCAAAUCAAAUCAAAUUCCUCCAUUCCUCCAAUGAGUUGGCCUCCCGCAAAUUAUGCUCCAAUUACUAGAAAUAAGGUUUAAAUAACCAAGGAUUAAGUAAGAUUAAUUGUUGAAGGACAAGUUCAAGUGUUCAACACCAUGUACUACACAGAACAAAACAUCUGAAUGAGUAAUUAAUGAUAUAUGAAUUAUCAUUUAUUUUAAAUAUUUUAUUUUUUUAUCUUUCUGUCACAUCAUAAGUUAUAUUAUAUCUAUAUUUUUCCUUUUUUUUCCUUCCUAAAUGUUGAAUAAAUUUUUGGAUGUUGAUCAAACAUUUUUUCAUCUGAAUUGAGUUAGAUCUGAAACAGGAUCCAAGUACUUAUAAGGUGAUUUUUAAAGAGAGAAAAGGAGGAAAUAUCAUUAUUUGAAUCCGUUUUAUUAACAAAAUCUAACAACUAAUGUAUAAAAAAAUUAAGCAAAUAAUUACUCUAUUUUUUUAAGUAUUCAUAUCAUUCUUAUCUCUUCCCAACAAAUAUUAUCAUGCAAAAAAUGUUUUUUGGAUCUGCAUCAAUACCCAAAGAUGUGGAUAAAAGAUGUUAAUACAAUCAUUCAGUAAAAAUUUCUUUAUUAUCUUAAAAAUAUUUUUCUUUUGAAUAAUAAAUAUAAUUUUCACAAUUAGUUGAGCGUACUUUGUUUUUCAGAGAUGGUAGAGUGGCCCAGAGAAACUGCACCUCUCAAUGGAUAUGAAUUCAACUUUGAACAAGAUCUAAACAGAACUUCUGAUUUAAUUGACGUGAAAGUGAUGCUUUCUCAAUAGCUGAAUUUUUAAUUGGAAACCUUUUCAUUGGGCACCAAACUAUAAGAGGCCAACUACAUAGGAUAAUCUCAGAUCUCAGUAAGGCAUGCUUCCCAUGUAUAUAUUGGCAGAUAACUGAAAAUGUUGCAUAUCCUUUAAUUUCUAGCCAUUUCAAAUUCUUUGGCAAAACAUAUCUGAGGUUUUGUUUUUUCCAUUAUUAUUGUGUUGUAGGAAAUUGUAGUAUACUUCUCUCUACAAAGGUUAUCCAUUGAUGCAGGGAAUAUUGAGCUGCAGCAAACUAUACACUUCAAAUAAUUUGAUGUUUUACUUUUUUGCCAAAUAUUGUGCUGCAGCAAACUACACACUUACCGUAAUGCAUUAAGGUUUUUUACUUUUUAUAAAUUAAAGCCAACUUGCACACCUAAGAAAAGUAAGAAGUAUUACAAAACAGAUAUAAUACAGCUUUCAUUUAACAUGACUUCAAUCUAAACCAUUGAAUUUUUAAUCAAUAUAUCUACGGUGAAUUUUGAUGAUAGGUACUUCCCCCAGAUUCCACGAUCAAAAAGCAUCCAACCAAGAACAUUGUCAUCCAAAGAGGACAAGACACCUACUACCACUACACUUUUUAAAGUAGCCAGACUUCAAUCUAAACCAUUGAAUUUUUAAUUAAUAUAUUUAACGGUUAAUUUUGAUGGUAGGUACUAGCGCAGAGCGAGUUAAAAGUGAAGAGAGUUGACUAGAAUCAAAUCUCAUCACACCAGUUAACCUUGUCGAAAACCAACCCAGUUUAUUGCAACCAAUUCCUUUCCUUUGUUCUUGACAUCAUGGCUGAGGCAGUUGGUGGUGCAUUCCUCUCUGCUUUCCUUGAUGUUGUGUUCGACAAGCUGUCUACAGAUGAGGUUGUUGACUUCAUCCGUGGAAAGAAGCUUGACCUCAAUUUGCUUGAGAACUUGAAGACCACUCUGAGAGUGGUUGGAGCUGUGCUUGAUGAUGCUGAGAAGAAACAAAUCAAACUCUCCAGUGUCAACCAGUGGCUCAUCGAACUCAAAGAUGCUCUCUAUGAUGCCGAUGACUUGCUGGAUGAAAUUUCUACCAAAUCUGCAACUCGAAAGAAGGUAUGUAAAGUGCUUUCUCGCUUUACUGAUAGGAAAAUGGCCAGUAAGUUGGAAAAAAUAGUUGACAAAUUAGAUAAAGUUUUAGGAGGCAUGAAGGGUCUUCCUUUGCAAGUGAUGGCAGGGGAGAUGAACGAGUCAUGGAAUACUCAGCCAACGACAUCACUGGAAGAUGGAUAUGGCAUGUAUGGUAGGGAUACAGACAAGGAGGCCAUAAUGAAGUUGUUGUUGUCAGAUGAUAGCAGUGAUGGUGUACUAGUGUCUGUGAUCGCUAUUGUAGGCAUGGGUGGGGUUGGAAAAACCACUUUAGCCCGUUCUGUGUUCAACAAUGAGAAUUUGAAGCAGAUGUUUGAUUUAAAUGCAUGGGUUUGUGUUUCUGAUCAAUUUGAUAUUGUUAAGGUCACAAAAACUAUGAUAGAGCAAAUCACGCAAGAGUCAUGUAAAUUGAAUGAUCUAAACUUGCUUCAACUUGAAUUGAUGGACAAACUGAAAGUUAAAAAAUUCUUAAUUGUCUUGGAUGAUGUAUGGAUCGAGGAUUAUGAGAAUUGGAGUAAUCUUACAAAACCAUUUCUACAUGGAAAAAGGGGAAGUAAAAUUCUCUUGACGACCCGCAAUGCAAAUGUAGUGAAUGUAGUCCCUUACCAUAUUGUUCAACUUUAUCCUCUAAGUAAAUUGUCAAAUGAAGAUUGUUGGCUAGUGUUUGCAAACCAUGCAUUUCCCCCCUUAGAAUCAAGUGGGGAGGAUAGAAGAGCUUUAGAAGAAAUUGGAAGGGAGAUUGUUAAAAAGUGUAAUGGAUUGCCUUUAGCAGCACGGUCACUUGGAGGUAUGUUGAGAAGAAAGCAUGCUAUUAGGGAUUGGAAUAAUAUACUUGAAAGUGACAUUUGGGAACUUCCUGAAAGUCAGUGUAAAAUUAUUCCAGCCCUGAGAAUUAGUUAUCAAUAUCUCCCUCCACAUUUAAAACGGUGCUUUGUUUAUUGUUCAUUAUACCCUAAAGAUUAUGAAUUUCGAAAGAAGGACUUGAUCUUGUUGUGGAUGGCUGAAGAUCUUUUGAAGCUUCCAAACAGAGGAAAGGCAUUAGAAGUUGGUUAUGAGUAUUUUGAUGAUUUAGUUUCGAGAUCAUUUUUUCAACGUUCAAGUAAUCAAACUUGGGGCAAUUAUUUUGUAAUGCAUGACCUCGUGCAUGAUCUAGCAUUAUACCUUGGUGGAGAAUUCUAUUUCAGAUCAGAAGAACUUGGAAAAGAAACCAAGAUUGGUAUAAAGACUCGUCAUUUGUCAGUUACAGAGUUCAGUGAUCCAAUCUCAGAUAUUGAAGUUUUUGACAGACUACAAUAUUUGAGAACUUUAUUGGCAAUUGAUUUUAAAGAUUCUUCAUUCAACAAGGAAAAGGCACCAGGUAUUGUAGCGUCGAAGCUUAAGUGCUUGAGAGUUUUAUCAUUUUGUGGCUUUGCAAGUCUGGAUGUUUUGCCUGAUUCAAUAGGUAAAUUGAUCCAUUUGCGUUAUUUAAAUCUCUCUCAUACAAGUAUAAAAACACUGCCGGAGUCAUUGUGUAAUUUGUACAAUCUACAAACUCUGGCGUUGUCUCGUUGCGAAAUGUUGACCAGGUUGCCUACUGACAUGCAAAAUCUUGUAAACUUGUGUCAUCUUCAUAUUGAUCAUACUCCGAUAGGAGAGAUGCCUAGAGGAAUGGGAAUGUUAAGUCAUUUGCAGCAUUUGGAUUUCUUUAUUGUGGGCAAGCAUAAAGAGAACGGAAUCAAAGAACUGGGGACACUUUCAAAUCUUCAUGGUUCGCUUUCUAUUAGGAAUUUGGAGAAUGUAACCAGAAGCAAUGAAGCAUUGGAGGCUAGGAUGAUGGAUAAGAAGAACAUUAAUCAUUUAUCGUUGAAAUGGUCUAAUGGCACCGACUUCCAAACUGAAUUAGAUGUACUGUGCAAAUUAAAACCUCACCCAGGCCUGGAAUCUCUAUCGAUAUCGGGUUAUAAUGGAACCAUAUUUCCAGAGUGGGUGGGAAAUUUUUCCUACCACAACAUGACAAGUCUAAGUUUACGUGGUUGUAAUAACUGUUGUGUGCUUCCUUCGCUUGGGCAACUACCGUCUCUUAAGGAGCUCUAUAUUUCAAGAUUGAAGUCAGUGAAGACUGUUGAUGCAGGGUUUUACAAAAAUGAAGAUUGUCCUUCUUCUGUGACACCCUUUUCUUCCCUUGAAACUCUAUCCAUUGCUGACAUGUGUUGCUGGGAGUUGUGGAGUAUCCCUGAGUCAGACGCCUUUCCUCUACUCAAGUCUCUUACAAUAUGGAAUUGCCCCAAACUAAGGGGAGAUUUGCCAAAUCACCUUCCUGCUCUGGAAACACUUACAAUUACAAAUUGCGAGCUUCUUGUCUCUUCCCAAGGGCUCCCACCCUUAACAGAUUAGAAAUACAUAAAAGUAAUAAUGUAUCGUUGAGUCCAAUGGUGGAGUCCAUGAUCGAGGCCAUCACCAGCAUCGAGCCAACUUGCCUCCAACAUUUAACAUUGAGGGAUUGUUCGUCAGCCAUAUCUUUUCCGGGUGGUCGUCUACCUGCAUCUCUGAAGGAUCUGCAUAUCAGCAAUCUUAAAAAUCUGGAAUUCCCGACCCAACACAAACACGAUUUACUGGAAUCACUGUCACUACACAAUAGUUGUGAUUCUCUCACGUCUCUUCCAUUGGCUACCUUUCCAAAUCUCAAAAGUCUCAAAAUUGGAAACUGUGAACAUAUGGAAUCUCUUUUGGUUUCAGGGGCAGAGUCAUUUAAGAGUCUGUGUUCUUUGACAAUUUUCCGAUGCCCCAACUUUGUAUCAUUCUGGAGAGAAGGAUUGCCUGCGCCUAAUUUGACUCAAAUUGAAGUUUUAAAUUGCGACAAGUUGAAGUCCUUACCUGACAAAAUGAGUAGUCUUUUCCCAAAGUUAGAAGUUCUCAAAAUAUCCAACUGCCCAGAAAUUGAGUCGUUUCCAGAAGGGGGUAUGCCACCUAACCUGAGAACAGUUUCGAUUGAGAAUUGUGAGAAACUAAUGAGCGGCCUAGCGUGGCCAUCCAUGGGCAUGCUUACUGAUCUCAGUGUUUGGGGUCGAUGUGAUGGCAUCAAGUCAUUCCCUAAGGAGGGUUUGCUGCCUCCCUCCCUUACGUCUUUGAAGCUAUAUGAGUUUUCAAAUCAGGAGAUGUUGGACUGCACGGGGCUUCUCCAUCUCACAUCCCUGCAAGAAUUAACCAUAAGGGAAUGUCCUUUGCUGGAGAAUAUGGUGGGAGAAAGGCUUCCUGUCUCUCUAAUAAAAUUAACCAUAAGCGGAUGUCCUUUGCUGGAAAAACAAUGCCGCAGGAAGCACCCUCAAAUUUGGCCUAAAAUAUCCCACAUCCGUCACAUUAAAGUUGACAGUAGAUUGAUUUAGUGACCAAGGAUGAGCACCGGGUAAUUCUCCUUCUUUGACCUACUUCAUCGUCUUCUAAGUCUAACCAAACAAAACUAUUUCAGUCAAGGAUAUCUUUCUUUUCAUGUCUUUUUAUUCUCACAGUUAAUUUAUUCAUUUCAUUCAACAAGUGUUAUUACCCUGAAGAAAUGUUAUUAAUCAAUGCCAUUGUAUUUGAACUUUCUCAAUAUAUCGGCAAUCAUGGUGGUUGUUUCAUCUUGUUACAUUCUCUGUCAGUGUUCAAAGUGUAAUUGGGUGUACUUUGUUUUUCAGAGAUGAUAGAUUGUCCUGUAGAAACUGCACCUGUCAAUGGAUAAGAAUUCAACUUUGACGUGACACCAGAAAGCUCAUAUUUAUGCGUGUAAAGCUGAUCUUCCAGGGCAAAAGGAGGAGGAAGCGAUGGCGCAGUCAGCUGAUGGCAAAGUGUUUAAGAUUGUUCCAUGUCACCAUCUGGAGCAUAGCACCAGCAACUCCCUGAGCAUACGGGCCUUAAGCCAUGACUUGACUGGUUCAGAUAGGUAAUAAUUACUGAAUUCAAGACACUAAUGCUUCUUAUUCUAUGAGGGUUCAUAUAAAAUUGACAAGGGUUUAGAUCUUGCUAGUAAUACCAAGGAUUCGUGAACCAACUUAACAAUCACACCAUGGAUGAUUUGAAAUAACAAAAUAAAUUGCAGUUCCUGUCUAACAUCUCUAGGAAAUUUUCCAGAACAUAAGUUCAACAAGGAAAACAAAGAAGAUAGAAAAAAUAAGACAAUGUUGUUUUCUUCUUAAUCUUAUAUUUUAUUGUUCCUCCCAUGCCUUGCAUCAAUUUUGUAACCUAUGUGAAACUUGGAUGAUUUAAAACACAAUAAUUACAAUGAACAAGGAAUAGAAACUAGAUCGUCUUGGGUAGGAGAUUGUGGUCUAUCUGAGAAGCAAAGUCCUGAUUUCAGUCUUUAACUAGAAUUCAUCAAGCUUAUCAUUCUCUAAGCUGAUUUAUUAGGCAAUUGUCUUUGUUCUUUCUCAUUCUUGUUUCUUAUUUCCCUCUAAAUUGGGCUCAGAGCUUUGUUCUUACUCAUUGUUUCUUAUUUUCCUUUAGAUCAUAUUUUCAAAAGUUGUUCAUGUCAUUGCAUGCAAUGUUUGCUUUCACCCAAAGGGGUGGCUUUGAUCAAAUUGACAAGGAUGAUUCCAACCUACCUCUGGAUACAGCUCCUAUUAAGCAUGUCACGCAGGUAUGCUGUCACAUAAUUGAAAAGUGUUAUCAUGGCUCUAACUACUUGUUAUAAAUUCUCUGCCACUACAAGUUUUCAUCCGAGUUGGGUUAUUAUUUUUUUUAUCUUUCAUCUUUUGUGAAUUUUCGUUUUUAGUUUCAUGAUUUUUUUGUCUUUUUUUAGUCCCAAAAAAAAUAUUGUUUUAUUUUUUGUUCUGAAUAUAUUUAGAAUUUUUUAGGGACUAAAAAUGAAACAAAAAAAUUGAGGGACUAUAAACAAAAAAAAAUUUAUAGACUAAGACCCGUCAAAAGAUUAAGAAGGACUAAAACAGUCACAAAAGACGAGAGACUAGCAAGUUAAAUAAAUCCUAUUGAUAUUAUUUUAUUAAUAUUGUGCUACAGGAAAUUUUAAAUUUACAAUUUAUAUUAUAAUACAAAAAUAUUUAUCUUUAUUUAUAUUCUUUUGAAAAUAUUGAAAUUCAAUUUAAAAAUAAGUAUGAAAAUGAAAAAUUAAACAGAGAUAAAAGUUUUAUAAAAAAUUUUAAAAUAUCUUGUUGAAAAAAAACUAAAAAUACUUUAGUUGAAGAAUAACUCUUAAAAAAAUAUUUUCCGAUACAAGAAACUCAUUUCAUUUCAGAUAAAACUAUAAAAAUUUACUAUAAAAAAAGGCAACUAAUGCGUUUAUCUGUUACUCACAACACAACUAAAAUAUAACUGUGGACUUAAGUUUUUCGAUUCGACAUUAACUACAAAUAAAAAACAGUAUUAGUUAGAUAACGAUCAUUUUAAUCUAAAAUAGAACUGAGCCAGUUUAAAUACUUAACUUACAAUCCAAAUUAAGUCUGUGGUGACAAUUGCAAACAAAUUAAAAACUGAAAUACUACUACACAUAAAAGACAAAGCCCCAACAUUUUUUUAAAUUUCAAUUCAAGGUUUAAUCAUCCAAUUUUUCUCAUAAACGCAGACUUCUUCCUUGCAUGCAUGCAAUUUUUCCUUCCCUUGUUUUCUCUAGGACAAAAGUUAUCACAGUGCAUACGUGACAAUCUACCCUCAAAACUCUCAGCAUCAAUCAAACAGUCACAAGAAAAGGCCAUAAAACACUACGAUGCUAAUGCCACAAAAUGGUGGCAGUCGUGGUGAUGUCCAUGUUGAGGAUAACCAAAACAUGUCCUUUCCGUCGUGGGAGGGAACCUUUAUGAGGUGCUUCACUGCAAUAGAUGAAAAGCUUGCUAAGAACAUUGACACUGAUGGAUUUCAUGGCGGUAGCACUUCUGUAUCUGUACUCAAACAGGUAUAACUAGACCUUCACAAUUACAUUACCUUCUUGCCAAUGUUGCUUUUGCAAUUAUGUUUUUUCUUUUUUUGUGAAUACUUUUGCAACAAUGUUAUAACCACAUCUUUUUCCCCCUUUAAAUUUCAGGGUGAGCAAGUAAUAAUUGGCAAUGUGGGGGAUUCUCGUGCAGUUCUUUGCAGAAGAGCACCUGACAAUCACCUUAUUCCUGUUCAACUUACUGUUGACUUGACUCCAGAUAUUCCAAGUAUUGUUGACUUGACUCCAGAUAUUCCAAGUAUGUUUUGGUAUUACCUAUUCUUAGUUUCCAAAUCUUACAACCCUUUUUAGUUUAUUUGGUUAAAUUGUCUAAUUAAGCCAUAUUCAUUAAGAACUUAUUAGAUGAGAGCUUCUUUCAGGACUUGUUUGGGUAAGUUUAUUGAUAGGGAGAAGGGCGUACAUGAGGAAGAAGCAAGAAGGAUGUACACGAGGAAGAAGCAGGGGUGUCCAGCUGGCAUGAGGAUAGUGGGUGUAUCAAAUAUGUUGUCUGCCACCACUCCUAGCACUAAUAAUUUGUUAGGAUUUCUGUUGUAAGAACAUUCUAGUAUAUCAGCCAAGUUCUAUAUAUAUGGUGAUGGGUGUAAUCCAGAUUAUGGAAAAAAAGAAUAUUGCCUUUACCUUGAAUUGUUCUUUUUCUCCCUUAUUCUCUGGAGGUACUGACCCUCGAAGUCAGCUAGUUUUUCCCUGCACGUAACAAUUUGGUGCUUUCAUUGAGAGCCCAUGGCCGCCUUCCAUGGCUGCCAUAGCCAUUUGCACACACCUUCGUUGCUGCACACCCCUCCUCCCUUUGCACAUCCAACUCAAUUCCUUGGGAUUGAUUUUGAAAGUACCCGCCAACGGUUGCUGAGUUUGUUCGAUUCUGAGAGGACCCCUCCUUCAUUUCAACAACCACCAUACGAAGCUUCCAUGGCUGUCGUCCAUGGCUGCCACUUGCCGUACGGAGCUUCAAUAUUCUACUGAAUGGCCAUAAGCUACUUCUACAAGUCCAAAUAAGUUUUAUGAAAUUCUUCCUAAUGUCCCUUGGUCUGUGUCUAACUAGCUUUUCUUCCUCAAUGUCACUCAGGAGAAGCUAUGAGAAUUUUUGCUGUAGAAGAAGAUCCUACUGUAAACAGAGUAUGGAUGCCUAAAAGGGACUGCCCUGGACUGGCUAUGGCAAGGGCCUUUAGAAAUUUUUGCCUAAAAGACUAUGGUGUCGCCUCAGUCCCUGAUGUGUCUUAAAGAAAACUUACCAAGAAGGAUAAGUGUGUGGUUUUGGCUUCUGAUGGGGUAAGCAUUUUCAUAUCAGGAUGUCAACUUCGAAUUAUGGAUUUUGAUUCUUGAGUAAUCAGUUAUAGGAACAGAACAAUCAUUAUUAGUGUUUAAGUUAUGCUCAAUUCUCGUAUUCCUCUCAAUCCAAAUAUGUUUGCAAAUAUUUGAUCAAAUAGUGUAAGAAAAGAAAUAACCACGAAGGUUAAAUGAAUUAACAGCAUGUAGUUUCCACACAUACGUAUUUAGUUCAUAUUGGACAAAAAUUAGAUGCAGUUAGUUCUAUAAGUGCUUUCAUUGUUGUCUUUCAAUUAGAAUUAGAGUUUUAUCAAGUAAUCCGUGUAAUAAAGGUUUCAAUUAAAAGUCAACAUAGACUACUAAGGUGAAAUCCAAUUUUGAUUGAAGAACAAUGUUAAAAGCACCUGUAAAACUGUAUCUAAGUUUUGUCCCAGCAUAUUUGGCACAAAUAAUAGCUUAUUUUUAUCAAUUUCCUAAGAGAGCUUUUAAUCAAUAAACAACAACCAAUUAACUUCUCAAAAUUUAUCCCAACCAAAAAGGUCUAAAUUUUCUUUCUUACAGAUUUGGGAUGUGCUAACAAACAGUGAAGUAAUAAACAUAGUUGCGUCAGCACCAAAAAGGUCCAUGGCAGCCAAAUUGUUAGUAAACCAUGCUGUUCGGGCUUGGAAAUAUAAGUAUGGUUUCAAGGUAGAUGAUUGUUCGUCCAUAUGCUUGUUCUUGAAGGAUUAGCCUGCUUUAACCCAAUCCUGAUCCAAAGUGAGUGAGAACAAUAGACAUCCCUUGAAGCACCUGCAUUUCUCAUAAUCUAGACAUGUAAAUACUGAAAUUGUAGAUAUGGCAAGAGUAUGGUAGAAUCAAAAGGAAGAAUGGGAUGCUCUUGGAGGGUUCUCCAGAGCGAACUUUGAAUCAUAGAUUGCAAUCACCUCAGUACCUCAAGGAGGGUUGAAGCUGAUCACUAACUCAGCCAGAAACUCCCCGAAUCCAAGGGCUAGUGCUACUAACAAGUUAACAAUUGUACGGCCAGAAGAUUUUGGUUUUGACACAAACCCAGAAGAAGGCAAUUAUUUUAGCCUUCUAAUUCUGGUGUGAUUACAUGCAAGACUUCUUUUCUAUCUGCAUAAGACCAACAUUGAUCAAUUUUAGCACUCUAUAUUAUGGUACCAUAAAACUUUUUUAUUUUCUGGCUUGGGUUCUAAAGAGUUCAAUGAAGAACUAAGCUGCACCUACUUUUCUAUUUCUCUUCAAUUAUUUCCUAGUGUGCUGUGUUGACACUAACAUUCAGCAUAAAACAUUACUAGACACUAGAACCAGAGGGGUUAUACUAUUGCUGAGCAUUUUGAAGCUUAAGAAUGAAUCUUCAAAAGUAAAAGGUGAUCAAUUAACAACCCAGGAAAUGAAAUUUUAUUAAUAACUUCCAGAACUUCUGGAAAAUGAUUACAACACCAAAAUAAUGUUAUUUGGCCUAAAAACAUGCCUUAUAAUUAUUAAGAGUAACGCCAAAGUUGAAAAACACGAUGUUAAAUAUAUUUUUUAUUCUUAAUAAAUAUCUAAAUUUUGUAUUUUUUUCUAAUAAAAUAUUAAAUUAAAAAAAUUAUAGUUUCAACAAUUUUUUUAUCAGUCAUAGUUUCAACAAUUUUUUUGAUUGAUCUAAGUUCCUCAAGUUUUCUCUAUCUUUGUUUUUAGUUAUUUUCAUCAAAUAUCAUUAUUUAUGAAUGAUGCGUAAACACGUGCACGACUAAUACGAUGUAAUAAUCACAUAAUAAAAAUAUUAUUGGUUCAAGAUAUUUUUUGAGAGUUUCAAGGUGCUACAAAUUUUUUUGAUGGUGUAAAACUACUAGAAAAAGUUUUGAAGUUUUGAAAAAAAAAAACAAAAAGGAGAUGUAUUAAGUAAAAUCAAUAAAUCAUAAAGAAGAAUUUACACAAAUAAACAUCCCACAAAACCAUUCUCUAAAACAUAAUCCAUAACUUAAUGAGAAUAGAAUUCUCAUCCUUAAAAAAAACGAAUUCUCAUAUGUUUAGAACUAUAUAUUGACGAUGUCAUACUAGUAGAUAUGAGAGAUUAAAAGCAUAGUUUAUAAAAAAAAAUUAUAAUCAAUAUCUUGCCAAAUUUGUUAAUAAUGUAAUAAGUUAAUGAAUUAUCAUAUUUCUGUUGCAUUAUCAAUCAACAUUAGUUGAUAGUAGAGACUAAAAUAAAAGAUAUUAAAUUUUUAUAGGGACUAAAAAAAUAAAAAAUUAAAGGACAAAACCAAAAAUAAGAUAUAUUAUAGCGACCAAAUAAUUAUUUAAGUCUUCUAUUUUUUUUUCUUUUUCCUAAUAUACCCUUUUCUUCCUUAAUUUCUCUCUUUUCCCCUUUGUCUCCUUCUUCCUAAGUAUCUUCUUGUCACCUUUCUUUGCAAACUCGUCUCUGAUGCUGAUAUGGCUUUGCCUGAAUCCCUGUGCUCCUCAUUACAUGCAUCCCCAUGUUCACGCAUAUCCUUGUGCUUUUAGCGUUACGUGUUGGCAAGACUAUGAUGGCGACAGCUGUGACGUUGCCGAGUGGAUCUUACUCCCUUUGUUGCAGCUAUCAUGGGGGACCAUGGCGAUUGCCACUAGAUCCCUUUGGAUUCUCUCUGAUUUUUGUGAUGUCGUUAGGAUUUUCCUAUAACAUUCGUGAAAUAUUCUGAAAUAUCGAAAGAUGAUUCCGAUGAUGGUUACAGGUGGGCGACAAUCACAAGGGGAAGAUGAAGAAGAGCAGAAGUAACACGGAUGGUGAUUUUUUAUAGUGUACGACGGCUAAUGCAGAGAGAAAAUAGAGGAGUAAAUUGAAAAAGAGUAGGAUAAAAAACAAAAUAAAAAAGAAAGAAGAAAAGUAUUGUCCAUAAAAUUAAAAAUGUAUAUAUCUAAUGACUUGAAAUAUGUUUCAAAUAAUGAGAUAUGAAGUGAGGUCCCACUCUAGCCAUCUUCAAGAAAUUACUGUCUCUCUGUUUAUAUAUAUAAUACUUAAUUACUUAAUUCAUGAAGAUUAAGAAAAUUGAUUAAUUUAAUUGAUAACAAUAAAUUUAUCUUAAAUUUAUAAUUUUUUUCAAAAUUAUUAUCAUUUAUACUCCCCUCUCUCCUAAUUGUUUGUCAAUAUAUCUUUUCUCUUUCUUAACUAGGGACAUUUCUAAUAUAGAAUUAAUUAAUACAUAAAACAUUAUAGAUUACGUCUUAUAAAAAAUAAAUAUCAUUUUAAAUUUGAGUCUUAUAAAUAAAAAUGGAAUGAGUAGUCUUUAACUCUUUAUACUUGCCUUUUCCUACUAUUUGGUUAAGAAGAAUGAAAGAGAAUUGAAAGUAUACAGAGUUGAAAGACAAUGAAAGAAGAUGGUCUAGGAUGUUUGUUACAUGUGAAAAUUUGAUGAAAGUUUCAAAAAUAAUGUGAGACCCACAUGUUUUUACUUUCAUCUCAAAAAGAGAAUAAAAGGGAGGAAAAGAAACAAUAAAAAGGAUGCUAUACACAAAAUUCUUGGUUGCUAAAAUUGUUCCUCAAGCCCCUCAUUAACCUUCAGUGGAACUUUUAAAUUAGGGUAUCAUGUCACAUAUAAUAAGUUAUUCAAAUGUCAUAGUUGAUUAUGCUUAGUUUGCAAUCAAGUUUGCUUUCUAGUGGCUUUUACUCAAGAUAUAAUCAAUUAUAUAUGCAAUUUAUAUAAUUGAUUAUGUGACUUUAAUUAGUAAAAGAAUAUACAUUUUUAUCUCAUAUAUAUAGUUACAUAAACUUAUUUUUUUGGGGUAAAAUGAAUGUUUACUUAAUCUCUUUUUCAGUUAUUUUUCUUUUAUUAUUGACCUAAACACUUUAGUUUAAGCAUUUCAUUUCUUUUACACUUUUUUUUUUCCAUCUCAAUCAAAUAACUUUAUUUUUUUUAUUCUUUUUUCAUUUUUUUUUUGAAGAGAGUCUCUUCUCAUUUCAACUUUCUUUCAUUUAUUUUCAUUCCUUUUCACACUACAUACAGUUAGACUUAGGCUGCCAUUAUGAUGGAGAAAAGUAAUAUACAAAAAAAAUUAUAUAUUUUAUUCGAUGGGAUCCACAUCUCUUAUAUUUUACUUUAAUUAUUUUUUUCAUUUUUUUCCUCUGCCUUUCCUUCUUCUAAAUCAAAUGCCCCCUACACAAUUCCAUCCUAUGAGACAAAUGUGUGUUUAAAAGAAAAAGUUUAUAGAUAUGCGUCAAUUGUAACUUUUGAUGCGGAAGUUAAUUAGCUAGCUUUAACAGCAUGCACGUUUAGGAGAAAAUGCAAGAAAAUCCAAAGGGGCAAUAAUAAAGCUGGUUGGGAGUGGAUUCCAAAUCAUCAAAUCAAAUCAAAUUCUCCCAUUGCUCCAAUGAGUUGUCCUCCCACAAAUUAAGCUCCAAUCUUCUAGAAAUAAGGUUUUAAAUAGCCAAGGAUUAAGAUUAAUUGUUGAAGGACAAAUUCAAUGCCAUGUACUCCACACAACAAGACAUCUGAAUGAGUAAUUAAUGAUAUAUGAAUUAUCAUUUAUUUUAAUCAUUUUAUUUUUUAUCUAUCUGUCACAUCAUAAAUUAUAUUACACCUAUAUUUUUCCUUUUUUUCCCUAUAUGUUGAAUAAAUUUUUGGAUGUUAUCAAACAUGUUCCCAUCUAAAUUGAGCUAGAUCUGAUUCAUCCGAAAGAGGAUCCAAGUAUCCAUAAGAUGAUUUUAAAGAGAGAAAAGAAGGAAAUACCAUGAUUUGAAUCCCUUUUAUUAACAAAAUCUAACAACUAAUGUCUAAAAAAAUUAAGCAAAUUAAUAAUUACACUAAUUACACUAUUUUUUUGGUAUUCAUAUAAUUCUUAUCUCUUCCCAACAAAUAUUACCAUGCAAAAAAUGUUUUUUUGGAUCUGCAUCAAUACCCAAAGAUGUGGAUAAAAGAUGUUAAUACAUUCAGUGAAAAUUUCUUUAUUAUCUUAAAAAUAUUUUCCUUUUGAAUAAUAAAUAUAAUUUUCACAAUUAGUUGAGUGUACUUUGUUUUUCAGAGAUGGUAGAGUGGUCCAGAGAAACUGCACCUGUCAAUGGAUAUGAAUUCAACUUUGAACAAGAUCUAAACAGAACUUCUGAUUUAAUUGACGUGAAAGUGAUCCUUUCUCAAUAGCUGAAUUUUUAAUUGGAAAGCUUUUCAUUGGACAUCAGACUAUAAGAGGACAACUACAAAGGAUAAUCUCAGAUCUUUCAGUAAGGCAUGCUUCCCAUGCAUAUAUUGACAGAUAACUGAAAAUGUUUCAUAUCAUUUAAUUUCUAACCAUUUCAAAUUCUUUGGCAAAACAUAUCUGAGGUUUUCUUUUUUUCCAUUAUUAUUGUGUUGUAGGAAAUUGUAGUAUACUGCUCUCUACCAAGGUUAUCCAUUGAUGCAAGGAAGAAUGUGCUGCAGCAAACUAUACACUUCAAAUAAUUUGAUGUUUUACUUUUUUGCCAAAUAUUGUGCUGCAGCAAACUAUACACAUACUGUGUUGUUGCCAUCUCUAAUCUAGUCUUGAUACUAGUGUUCAAAAUGAGAAUGAACUGGAAGCAACAGAAUCACCAAUUCACAAAGCCUUUGAUGCUUAAGAUCAGAGUGGAGGUGGUGCUUUCAUCAGAGUUUCAUCAAGUCCGCUGAGAAACAAUCAUCAUACUUCUACAAGAGAAGCUUGGGCACCUUUGUAGUUCUGGCAAGUCAUUUUGGAUCUAGACAAGAGCCAGGGAGGUUAGAAGUUUUCAUCAGGACUAAGGGGUUUGCUCUAUGAAAUAUAAAUGGAAGACAAGUACAUUCUUGGGGUGAAACACCAUGACAGAGACUGAGUUUAUGACAGAUGGGACAUUUUGCUCUGCUUUUAGUUUAACUGAAUCUUCUGGUGAAGACACUGAACUAUGAAGUAUCUUCUGGGAAAGAUUUAUGUGGUGUCUUGCAAAAAUAACAGUGAUGUAAUAAACAUAGUUGCCCUUAUCAGAUUUAAGUUGCAAACAUUCAAAUCUUUACACUGCCACGGCCACAUAGAUUGCAAACAUUCAAGGCCCAAUGGUGGAGUCCAUGGUCGAGGCCAUCUCCAGCAUCGAGACAACUUGCCUCCAACAUUUAAAAUUGAGGGAUUGUUCGUCAGCUAUAUCUUUUCCAGGUGGUCGUCUACCUGCAUCUCUGAAGACUCUGGUUAUCAGCAAUCUUAAAAAUCUGGAAUUCCCGACCCAACACAAGCACCAGUUACUAGAAUCACUGUUUCUAUAUAAUAGUUGCGAUUCUCUCAAGUCUCUUCCAUUGGUUACCUUUCCAAAUCUCAAAAGUCUCCCAAUCGAAAACUGUGAACACAUGGAAUCUCUUUUGGUUUCAGGGGCAGAGUCAUUUAAGAGUCUGUGUUCUUUGAGAAUUUCCCAAUGCCCCAACUUUGUAUCAUUCUGGAGAGAAGGAUUGCCUGCGCCCAAUUUGACUGAUUUUGAAGUUUUGCAUUGCGACAAGUUGAAGUCAUUACCUGACAAAAUGAGUACUCUUCUCCCAAAGUUAGAAUAUCUUGACAUAUCCAACUGCCCAGAAAUUGAGUCGUUUCCAGAAGGGGGGUAUGCCACCUAACCUGAGAACAGUUUGGAUUGUCAAUUGUGAGAAACUACUGAGCGGCCUAGCAUGGCCAUCCAUGGGCAUGCUUACCCAUCUCUAUGUGGGGGGUCGAUGUGAUGGCAUCAAGUCCUUCCCUGCAAGAAUUAACCAUAGAGAGAUGUUCUUUGCUGGAGAAUAUGGUGGGAGAAAGGCUUCCUGUCUCUCUAAUAAAAUUAACCAUACAGAGUUGUCCUUUGCUGGAAAAACAAUGCCGCAGGAAGCACCCUCAAAUUUGGCCUAAAAUAUCCCACAUCCGUCACAUUAAGGUUGACCAUAGAUGGAUUUAGUGACCAAGGAUGAGCACCGGGUAAUUCUCCUUCUUUGACCUACUUCAUCGUCUUCUAAGCCUAAAAGGGACUGCCCUGGAUUGGCUAUGGCAAGAGCCUUUGGAAAUUUUUGCCUAAAAGACUAUGGUGUCGCCUCAGUCCCUGAUGUGUCUUACAGAAAUCUUACCAACGAGGAUAAGUUUGUGGUUUUGGCUUCUGAUGGGGUAAGCAUUUUCAUAUCAGGAUGUCAACUUCGAAUUUUGGAUUGUGAUUCUUGAAUAAUCAUUUACAAGAACAGAACAAUCAUUGUUAGUGUUUAAAUGAUGCUCAAUUUUCUCAUUCCUCUCAAUCCAAAUAUGUUUACAAAUAUUUGAUCAAAUAGUAUAAGAAAAGAAAUAACCAAGAAGAUUAAAUGAAUUAACAGCAUGUAGUUUUCACACAUACAUGUUUAAUUCAUAUUGGACAAAAAUUAGAUGCUGUUAGUUCUAUAAGUGCUUUCUUUGUUGUCUUUCAAUAGGAAUUGGAGUUUCACCUAGCAAUCCGUGUAAUAAAGGUUUCCAUUAAAAGUCAACAUAGACUACUAAACUGAAAAUCCAAUUUAGAUUGAAGAACAAUGUUAAAAGCACCUAUGAAACUAUAUCUAAGUUUUGUCCCAGCAUAUUUGGCACAAAUAAUAGCUUAUUUUCAUCAGUUUCCUAAGAGAGCUUUUAAGCAAUAAACAACAACCAAUUAACUUCUUAAAAAUUAUCCCAACCAAAAAGGUCUGAAUGUUCUUUCUUAGAGAUUUUAAGCAUGACUAAGAAUUAUAAACAGCAACACCAAAGUUGAAAAAUAAGUUUAAAUAUAUUUUUUUUUCUCAAUAAAUAUUUAAAUUUAAUAUUUAUUUUCUGAUAAAAAAAUUGCAGUAAGUUCCUAUAAAAAAAAAGUCAUUUAUUAUUAGUCUUUUGAAAUGGAGUCAUAAUAAAUGAAAUACAUUAUCCUAAAACAAACAUAUAAUUUUUUAAUUUAUCAUGAACUAAAACAUAACAUAAAAAACAAAAAUAUACAUUAAUACUUAAAUACAAAACUAGAAUAUUUAUUAGAAAUCAGGCCAAUAUAUUAGCCUAUAAAAAAAUAAAGGCAGACCUCCUAUAUGAGGGCAAUUUUAUCCAAAAAAAUGCAGAGUGUCCUUGCCCUUUCUAUAUGAGGGCAAUUUUAUCCAAAAAGAUAGAUACGUGGAAAGUCACACAAUGGGGUGGACCACACACAUGUCUGAAUAUGACCAUGACACAAGAUCACGAGAAACUUGAUUCAGAUUUGAUUGCUACUUGUGUAGUAGGUACGUAUUUUAUGUUCAUAUUAUGUUCAUUUUUUGUUAAUUCUCAUUUAAAUUUUCAUAUAUGUUCUACAAAUAAAUUAAAUUACAUACAAAUAUAAAUUUUAAUAUAUAACAAUUUUUAUAUUUGCGGCUAAAAAUUAAAACAAUAUAUAUAUACAAAAUUAAUAACUUAAAAUACUUACCACUAAAAUAAUUUAGCAUACAAAAUUAAUUAUUUCAAAUACGUUAAACUAUUCUAAUUUUAACAUAUUAUAUGAAACUCAUAAUAACUACAACCUACGUAAUAUAAAAUUUUUUAUUGUUAUCUAAUUUAAAUUUUUUAAUUUAUAGUAUGUAUAACUAUUCCUAAUUUUUCAUAUAAAAUAUUUAAACUAAAUGUAAUGUAUCAUAUAAAAAAUUUAAACUAAACCUAAUCCAAAAUUAAUAAGUUAUGGAACCUAAAACUAUUUUUAAUCUAUUAUAUAAAUUUUUUUAAUUAAACCUAAUCUACCAUAUAAAAAUUAAAACCAUUUCUAAUUUAUCAUAUUAAAUAUUUAAACUAAAUGUAAUGUACCAUAUAAAAAAAUUUAAACCAAUUCUAAUCUAAAAUUAAUAACUUAUGGAACCUAAAACUAUUUUUAAUGUAUUAUAUAAAUUUUUUUAACUAAACCUAAUCUAUCAUAAAAAAAUUAAAACUAUUCCAAAUUUAUCAUAUCAAAUAUUUAAACUAAAUAUAAUGUAGCAUAUGCAAAAUUUAAAUUAAACCUAAUCUAAAAUUAAUAAGUUAUGAAACGCCAAACUAUUCUUAAUCUACUAUAUAAAUUUUUUUAUAUAAACCUAACUUACCAUAUAAAAAUUUAAAGUAUUUCUAAUCUAUCAUAUAAAAUUAAUAACUUACAUUUCCUAAAACUAAAACUAUUUCUAAUCUACCACAUAAAAAAUUUAAAAUAAAUUCUAAUCUAUCAUAUAAAAUUAAUAACUUAUCUUUCCUAAAACUAAAACUAUUUCUAAUCUACCAUAUAAAAAAUUUAAAAUAAUUCUAAUCUACUAUAUAAAAGUAAGAACUCAAACUAAUAAUAUUAACAAAUGAAACUAAUAAUAUUAACAAAUAAACUAAAUCUAAUGUUUCUUAUAACACAAAUAAUAGCAUACUAAAACUAAACCUAAUAUUAUUUAAAACUAAAUCUAAAAAUAAAUGUACUCUAUAAAACUAUAAUUAUCAAAUUAAAUUUAAUUUAUUAUUUCUAACUAAAACUAACUUAACAUAAAAAAAACUAAUAACAUAUAUUACUAAUUAUCAACAGAAUAUAAAUAAAAUAAAAAACUAAUUAAACAAACUUACUUGAAAAAAUUACAAAUGAAGCAAACUUUUCACAGCUCUUCUUCUUUCUCCCACACAGCAAGCUUCUUCUUCUUUUCUGCAUUCGCGUGAAUGCUCUACGGGGGAGGGGGGGAUUUAAGCACCAUUUUGCAAUGAAGUCGCUGCUGGGGCUGGCGAUUUGGCCCAACCAAAUCGCCAUUCAGCCUGGCGACACCCUGCUGCACCUCCUUUGCACGUCGCAGGCUGCAAGCCUCCUGGGAAAUGAUCUCUGCAGUCCCCUAGGCUGAAUCGCCAAGAGCAGUGGCGCUUUCACUGUGGCGCCAACAGUGCUGGCGUUUCCCACGUCUCAAAUCGCCAGCAGUAAUGGCGCUUUCCUCCCCCCUCGACACGUGUCCGCCAUGCACGAAGUCGUCAUCAGAAAUGGCGCAUCCCAUGCUGGGGGCGUGCAAAAACAGCACCCCCUAGGAAAUACUUUCCAAACAGCCCUAAACUGGGAAUAACUUUGUAAAACAGCGCCUCGUUGGGAAAUUUGCCUCCACCCAGAUACCACGUUCAACAAGUAUCCAACCACACCGCUACACCUUGUCAAAAACCAACCCAGUUUUGUAACCAAUUUCUUUCCUUUAUCUUUCUCAUUCAGAUCAUGGCUGAGGCAGUUGGUGGUGCGUUUCUCUCUGCUUUCCUUGAUGUUGUGUUCGACAAGCUGGUCACCGAUGAUGUUGUUGACUUCAUCCGUGGAAAGAAGCUUGACCUCAAUUUGCUUGAGAACUUGAAGACCACUCUGAGACUGGUUGGAGCUGUGCUUGACGAUGCUGAGAAGAAACAAAUCAAACUCUCCAGUGUCAACCAGUGGCUCAUUGAGCUCAAAGAUGCUCUCUAUGAGGCCGAUGACUUGCUGGAUGAAAUUUCUACCAAAUCUGCAACUCAAAAGAAGGUUAGUAAAGUGUUUUCUCGCUUUACCGAUAGGAAAAUGGCCAGUAAGUUGGAAAAAGUAGUUGGCAAAUUAGAUAAAGUUCUAGAAGGCAUGAAGGGUCUUCCUUUGCAAGUGAUGGCAGGAGAGAGCAACGAGUCGUGGAAUGCUCAGCCAACAACAUCUCUGGAAGAUGGAUAUGGUAUGUAUGGUAGGGAUACAGACAAGGAGGCCAUAAUGAGGUUGUUGUUAGAGGAUAGCAGUGAUGGUGUGCAAGUGUCUGUGACCGCUAUUGUAGGCAUGGUUGGGGUUGGAAAAACCACUUUAGCCCGAUCUGUGUUCAACGAUGGCAAUUUGAAGCAGAUGUUUGAUUUAAAUGCUUGGGUCUGUGUUUCUGAUCAAUUUGAUAUUUUGAAGGUAACAAACUAUGAUAGAGCAAGUUACGCAUGAAUCUUGUAAAUUGAAUGAUCUUAAUUUACUUCAACUUGAAUUGAUGGACAAGCUGAAAAGUAAAAAAUUCUUAAUUAUCUUGGAUGACGUUUGGAUCCAAGAUUACGAUAGCUGGAGUAAUCUGACAAAAUCAUUUCUACACGGGAUAAGGGGAAGUAAAAUUCUCUUGACAACCCGCAAUGAAAAUGUAGUGAAUGUAGCCCCUUACCAUAUUGUUCAAGUUUAUCCUCUAAGUAAAUUGUCAAAUGAAGAUUGUUGGCUAGUGUUUGCAAACCACGCAUUUCCUCUCUCAGAAUCAAGUGGGGAGGAUAGAAGAGCUUUAGAAAAAAUUGGAAGGGAGAUUGUUAAAAAGUGUAAUGGAUUGCCUUUAGCAGCACGGUCACUCGGAGGUAUGUUGAGAAGAAAGCAUACCAUUAGGGAUUGGAAUAAUAUACUUGAAAGUGAUAUUUGGGAACUUCCUGAAAGUCUGUAAUAUUAUUCCCGCCUUGAGAAUUAGUUAUCAUUAUCUCCCUCCACAUCUAAAACGGUGCUUUGUUUAUUGUUCAUUGUACCCGAAAGAUUAUGAAUUUAAAAAAAAUGACUUGAUCUUGCUGUGGAUGGCUGAAGAUCUUUUGAAGCUUCCAAACAGAGGAAAGGCGUUAGAAGUUGGUUAUGAUUAUUUUGAUGAUUUAGUUUCAAGAUCAUUUUUUCAACAUUCAACAAGUAAUUUAACUUGGGACAAUUGUUUUGUAAUGCAUGACCUCGUGCAUGAUCUUGCAUUAUCCCUUGGUGGAGAAUUCUACUUCAGAUCAGAAGACCUUGGAAAAGAAACCAAGAUUGGUAUGAAGACUCGUUAUUUGUCAGUUACAAAGUUCAGUGAUCCAAUCUCACAAAUUGAAGUUUUUGACAAACUACAAUUUUUGAGAACUUUCUUGGCAGUUGAUUUUAAAGAUUCUCCGUUCAACAAGGAAAAGGCACCAGGUAUUGUAGUCUUGAAGCUCAAGUGCUUGAGAGUUUUAUCAUUUUGUGGCUUUGCAAGUCUGGAUGUUUUGCCUGAUUCAAUUGCUAAAUUGAUCCACUUGCGUUAUUUAAAUCUCUCUUUUACAAGUAUUAAAACACUGCCAGAGUCAUUGUGUAAUUUGUACAAUCUACAAACUCUGGUGUUGUCUCAUUGCGAAGUGCUGACCAGGUUGCCUACUCACAUGCAAAAUCUUAUAAACUUGUGUCAUCUUCAUAUUAAUGGUACUCAUAUAGAAGAGAUGCCUAGAGGAAUGGGAAUGUUAAGUCAUUUGCAGCAUUUGGAUUUCUUUAUUGUGGGCAAGCACAAAGAGAACGGAAUCAAAGAACUGGGGACACUUUCAAAUCUUCAUGGUUCGCUUUCUAUUAGGAAUUUGGAGAAUGUAACCAAAAGCAAUGAAGCAUUGGAGGCUAGGAUGCUGGAUAAGAAGAAUAUAAAUGAUUUAUCGUUGAAAUGGUCUAAUGGCACUGACUUCGAAAUUGAAUUAGAUGUACUGUGCAUAUUAAAACCUCACCCAGGCCUGGAAUCUCUAUCAAUAUGGGGUUAUAAUGGAACUAUAUUUCCAGAUUGGGUGGGAAAUUUUUCCUUCCACAACUUGACAAGUCUAAGGUUACGUGAUUGUAAUAACUGUUGUGUGUUUCCUUCGCUUGGGCAACUACCAUCUCUUAAGAAGCUCUAUAUUUCAAACUUGGGUUCAGUGAAGACUGUUGAUGCAGGGUUUUACAAAAAUGAAGAUUGUCCUCCUGUGACACCCUUUUCUUCCCUUGAAAUUCUAGAAAUAUAUAACAUGUGUUGCUGGGAGUUGUGGUUCACCCCUGAUUCAGAUGCCUUUCCUCUACUUAAGUCUCUCAAAAUAGUGGAUUGCCCCAAUCUAAGGGGAGAUUUGCCAAAUCAACUUCCUGCUCUGGAAACACUUAUGAUUAGAAAUUGCGAGCUUCUUGUCUCUUCUCUCCCAAGGGCUCCCAUCCUUAAGAGAUUUGAGAUAUGUGAAAGCAAUAAUGUAUUGCUGCAUGUGUUUCCUCUUUUUUUGGUCGAGGCCAUCACCAGCAUCGAGCCAACUUGCCUCGAACAUUUAACAUUGAACAAUUGUUCGUCAGCCAUAUCUUUUCCAGGUGGUCGUCUACCUGCAUCUCUGAAGGCUCUGGAUAUCAGCAAUCUUAAAAAUCUGGAAUUCCCGACCCAACACAAGCACGAGUUACUGGAAUCACUGAUACUAUAUAAUAGUUGUGAUUCUCUCACGUCUCUUCCAUUGGUUACCUUUCCAAAUCUCAAAACUCUCCAAAUCAAAAACUGUGAAAAUAUGGAAUCUCUUUUGGUUUCAGGGUCAGAGUCAUUUAAGAGUCUGAAUUAUUUUAAGAUUACGGGAUGCCCCAAUAUUGCAUCAUUCCCGAGAGAAGGACUGCCUGCGCCCAAUUUGACUUAUUUCGCUGUUAAGUAUUGCAACAAGUUGAAGUCAUUGCCUGAUGAGAUGAAUAAUCUGCUCCCAAAGUUAGAAUAUCUCCAAGUUAAGCACUGCCCAGAAAUGGAGUCGUUUCCUGAACGGGGUAUGCCAGCUAACUUGAGAACAGUUUGGAUUAUCAAUUGUGAGAAACUACUCAGAGAUCUAGCACGGCCAUCCAUGGGUAUGCUUACUCAUCUCUAUCUUUGUGGUCCAUGUCAUGGCAUCAAGUCCUUCCCUAAGGAGGGUUUGCUGCCUCCCUCCCUUAUGUCUCUGUAUCUAGAUAACUUGUCAAAUCUGGAGAUGUUGGACUGCACGGGGCUUCUCCAUCUCACAUCCCUGC
rnacentral:lncRNA from 1 species